rnacentral:rRNA from 1 species
CCCGGUUUAAGCGUGUAGGUGUGUGUUCCAGGUAAAUCCGGUUCACUUUAACACUGAGGCGUGACGACGAGGCACUACGGUGCUGAAGCAACAAAUGCCCUGCUUCCAGGAAAAGCCUCUAAGCAUCAGGUAACAUCAAAUCGUACCCCAAACCGACACAGGUGGUCAGGUAGAGAAUACCAAGGCGCUUGAGAGAACUCGGGUGAAGGAACUAGGCAAAAUGGUGCCGUAACUUCGGGAGAAGGCACGCUGACACGUAGGUGAAGUGAUUUACUCAUGGAGCUGAAGUCAGUCGAAGAUACCAGCUGGCUGCAACUGUUUAUUAAAAACACAGCACUGUGCAAACACGAAAGUGGACGUAUACGGUGUGACGCCUGCCCGGUGCCGGAAGGUUAAUUGAUGGGGUCAGCGCAAGCGAAGCUCCUGAUCGAAGCCCCGGUAAACGGCGGCCGUAACUAUAACGGUCCUAAGGUAGCGAAAUUCCUUGUCGGGUAAGUUCCGACCUGCACGAAUGGCGUAAUGAUGGCCAGGCUGUCUCCACCCGAGACUCAGUGAAAUUGAACUCGCUGUGAAGAUGCAGUGUACCCGCGGCAAGACGGAAAGACCCCGUGAACCUUUACUAUAGCUUGACACUGAACAUUGAGCCUUGAUGUGUAGGAUAGGUGGGAGGCUUUGAAGUGUGGACGCCAGUCUGCAUGGAGCCGACCUUGAAAUACCACCCUUUAAUGUUUGAUGUUCUAACGUGGACCCGUGAUCCGGGUUGCGGACAGUGUCUGGUGGGUAGUUUGACUGGGGCGGUCUCCUCCUAAAGAGUAACGGAGGAGCACGAAGGUUGGCUAAUCCUGGUCGGACAUCAGGAGGUUAGUGCAAUGGCAUAAGCCAGCUUGACUGCGAGCGUGACGGCGCGAGCAGGUGCGAAAGCAGGUCAUAGUGAUCCGGUGGUUCUGAAUGGAAGGGCCAUCGCUCAACGGAUAAAAGGUACUCCGGGGAUAACAGGCUGAUACCGCCCAAGAGUUCAUAUCGACGGCGGUGUUUGGCACCUCGAUGUCGGCUCAUCACAUCCUGGGGCUGAAGUAGGUCCCAAGGGUAUGGCUGUUCGCCAUUUAAAGUGGUACGCGAGCUGGGUUUAGAACGUCGUGAGACAGUUCGGUCCCUAUCUGCCGUGGGCGCUGGAGAACUGAGGGGGGCUGCUCCUAGUACGAGAGGACCGGAGUGGACGCAUCACUGGUGUUCGGGUUGUCAUGCCAAUGGCACUGCCCGGUAGCUAAAUGCGGAAGAGAUAAGUGCUGAAAGCAUCUAAGCACGAAACUUGCCCCGAG